AUUGAACGCUGGCGUCAGGCCUAACACAUGCAAGUCGAGCGGAGAGGCUGACGGGUAAGUAAUUCCUAGGAAUCUGCCUGGUAGUGGUGGAUAACGUCCGGAAACGGGCGCUAAUACCGCAUACUAUCAGAUGAGCCUAGGUCGGAUUAGCUAGUUGGUGGUGUAAAGGCCUACCCAGGCGACGAUCCGUCACUGGUCUGAGAGGAGGAUCAGUCAGACUUGAACGGAGAAACGGUCCAGACUCCGACGGGAGGCAGCAGUGGGGAAUAGUGGACAAUGGGCGAAAGCCUGAUCCAGCCAUGCCGCGUGUGUGAAGAAGGUCUUCGGAUUGUAAAGCACUUGAAGUUGGGAGGCGUUACCAACAGAAUAAGCACCGGCUAACUUCGUGCCAGCCGCCGCGGUAAUAC
rnacentral:rRNA from 1 species